UUAGUAAGCUAAUGAGACUUCACCUCCAAAGCAUGAGCUAUGGCUCUGGUACUAUAAAAUACAGCAGAACCAUCAUUGGAGGGUGCCACUCCUAGCUUGCCAAUGAACCUAUACAAUCACAUAGCUUCCUUGCAAGCAUCGAAUGCUACAAUACAUUCAGCCUCGCAAUCGAAUUAGCUAUAUUGCUCUGCUUGAAACUUUUUCAGCAGAUUACUCUAUUAUUUAGGUAAAGAUAUAUUCUGACAUGUUCUUGCUAGUAUUACAUUCAACUAAAAAUUUGAGUCAUACUCUA
rnacentral:lncRNA from 1 species